UACGGAGGAUCCAAGCGUUAUCCGGAAUCAUUGGGUUUAAAGGGUCCGUAGGCGGUUUUGUAAGUCAGUGGUGAAAGCCCAUCGCUCAACGGUGGAACGGCCAUUGAUACUGCAAGACUUGAAUUAUUGGGAAGUAACUAGAAUAUGUAGUGUAGCGGUGAAAUGCUUAGAGAUUACAUGGAAUACCAAUUGCGAAGGCAGGUUACUACCAAUAUAUUGACGCUGAUGGACGAAAAGCGUGGGGAGCCGAACGAGG
rnacentral:rRNA from 1 species